rnacentral:rRNA from 1 species
UGGGGAAUCUUCCGCAAUGGGCGAAAGCCUGACGGAGCAACGCCGCGUGAACGCAUGAAGGUCUUAGGAUCGUAAAGUUCUGUUGUUAGGGACGAAGGGUAAGAAUAAUAAUACGGUUUUUAUUUGACGGUACCUAACGAGGAAG